rnacentral:rRNA from 1 species
UUUUGUUGGAGAGUUUGAUCCUGGCUCAGGACGAACGCUGGCGGCGUGCUUAACACAUGCAAGUCGAGCGGAAAGGCCCUUCGGGGUACUCGAGCGGCGAACGGGUGAGUAACACGUGAGCAACCUGCCCCAGGCUUUGGGAUAACCCCGGGAAACCGGGGCUAAUACCGAAUAUGACCUUGCA